ACAACUUUCAAGGCUGGAAGACUCACUUUUAUGACAGGAAUGACCUUGAGCUGAGAUAACAAGAAGAUUAUUGAGAAACAACAUCUGGGCAAAGACUGCAGAUGGAAAAAUACCUCAACUUUGAACAAAGAUUUGAAAUCCCUAUAAAAGUGGGAUGCAGCAAUGCCAGAAUGGAGGAUUCACACUGCAACAUCAGGGAGUAUAGGCACAUCUUUUCACCCCUGCUCCCACCACCAUCUCUCUCAAUGAGCCUGGGCUGGCCAACUAGUGCUAACAUUGAGCAAGCAAGCAGGAAUUGAGAGAGGCAUAUCCAGGAACCUGCACUAACAGAUUUUCCUCCUACAUGUGAGUGUCUUCUGAUCCAUGAUUGAUGCCAUCUCUGGAUCUGUUUGAACAGAAGAAUUUGCAGAUGGAUGAGAAGACUGAAUUUUUGGGGUGCAAAAGGCUGCGUGUCCAUCUCUAAAGGAACUUUGUGAGCAUCAGAAGAGAGAUGCCAGGCAAAUACACCCUACUGAAAUCAGCAUAACUGUCGCAGAGGUAAAUGAACAUGGAAGAAUCUCAGAGUGCCACUGGAAAUAUUUGGAUUCAUUUAGGGCUAGUGCAUCAUGCUGGAAAAAUACAGCAGUAGAGCCUCAAGAGCCAAGGAAAAGAUAUGGAUAGAGGAGUGCAUAUAAGUUUAGAUAGAGAAUGUGUAUCAGGCUAUGUAUGGAUGGAGAACUAAGUAUGGGUAUGGAUAGAUAGAAACCAGUAUAUUUAUUUGAUAUUAUCCACAAAUUCAUGAUAUAUUUUUUGAUCAUUUUCCCAUAUUAAAAAAAUAAACUCACUUCAUUCCUAAAGAUAAUUUUUUUAAUGAACUUAUAUAUCUGCUAUAUUUAUGGCAGUGGCUUGUGAACUGUGAAUGCUUCUCACAUGCAAAUGUUUAGGCUCUAUGUUAAAAUAUGGAAGAGCAGUGAAAUGUUAGUCUAUGCUAAAUGUAGGAGACCAGAAUGGGUUCUCUAAUGGGUCUCUUGUUUUACACUUGAUGAAUUUGAAAAAUGAUAUUCAUGGACCAUUUGUCCCUUCUAAUUUUUUUUUUUAAUGGCUUAGAUAAUUAUUUGAUAAAAACAACAUAUUUUGAUGUAUUAAUUGGAUAGAUUCUGGUCCUGAUGACUUCAAUGUUAACAUUUUCAUUAGAUUUUUUGUGAUAAAUCAGUCCUGAAAUAUCAGAUAAAAUCAGUGUAUUUUAUCCAAUAAAUUCAGAGCAUUGUUGAGCUAUUUAUGUGAUAAUAUCAAUAUAAUCACAAAGCAUUUACUUGAUAAAACUGAGAAAAGAAAAUUAGGGUAACAAGACUCGAAGAGGCCUCCUGAGUCUACUAAUCUGAUUCCCUGUUACACUGGAUGACCAAAUCACAUAUUUUAAGAAUUUUACAGAAUAUUUUCUUUAAAAAUAUAAAAAAUUGUGACUUUAGCGCAAUCAGUCAUCUGAUCUGGGGUAGGUUUUCUAAAAAAGUCAGGCUACAUUACAGCUGUUACAAAUACACGUUUCACAUUAGAAAUCUAGAUGUAAACAUUGCCAUUUACUAUUUCUUACACUUCCUUCUGUCUGGGUAAUCAUGAGUGUGUGUUCAAUUGGCUUAGGUUAUUUUCUGUCUAUCUAGAUAUGUGUAUAGUAGUCCCCACUGUAGCAUCAAAGGAUGAGAUUUUCAAGGACAUUUCAGUGCAUAAGGAUCUACAGGUGUAUCUAGUGAGGUUCUCAAAAGGGCUCAGAGGAUUAGAUUGGAAAAAAUAAAACCUUAAGUGCCUACAAGUUGAG